rfam:Schistosoma haematobium scaffold15_47, whole genome shotgun sequence.
GCAUUGCUGAGGAGUCCCACAAUAAGACGAAACGUCCGUCAAACAAUAC